rnacentral:rRNA from 1 species
CGUCCUACGGGACGCAGCAGUGAGGAAUAUUGGUCAAUGGGAGAGAUCCUGAACCAGCCAAGCCGCGUGAGGGAUGACGGUCCUAUGGAUUGUAAACCUCUUUUGUCAGGGAGCAAAGGGCGCCACGUGUGGCGUUUUGCGAGUACCUGAAGAAAAAGCAUCGGCUAACUCCGUGCCAGCAGCCGCGGUAAUACGGAGGAUGCGAGCGUUAUCCGGAUUUAUUGGGUUUAAAGGGUGCGUAGGCGGACUGUUAAGUCAGCGGUAAAAGCCCGGGGCUCAACCCCGGCGAGCCGUUGAAACUGGCU